CAUGCAUGAAAAUAACAUGAGUCACAAUGGUGAGUUGUGAUGCAUUUGGGCCAUGGAGGCAGAAUAUUAACCCUCUGUCUUUUAAACUGAGUAGGAAUGGAACUACAGAUUCAACAUUGCUCACAAAUACAGGAUCAAUCCACGAUGGACCCAGUGCAGGCUUGGACAUCCUCUCAUUUAAAUCCCAUCUGCCACAUGCAGACCUUGUGCUGCGUCGCAGGAGGCUUGAAAAGACACAAUCAUGUCUUUAUUCUGCGAGCACCACCUCAUGGAGAGCUGGCUGUCAUGCUGCUGCUGCUGCUGAGAGAUGACACACGUGACAUGAUAGACAGGAUCGUUGUCUUUCAUUGAUCAAACACAGCUGAGACUUCCGUGCCAAAGGCUGAGAAAUCUGAAGUGGCUGAUUUAAUAUUUAUCGACUGAAGUGCAGAUGGCAAGCUGAGGAGAGAAACACUGUACUUGAGCUGUCUGGAUUUGACAAAUUCAGAGUGAAGUACUCCAUUCAAAAGAAAUAAGGCAUCUGUUCUUCUUUGUUCUUCCACAUGUACAUCACUUAUUUCCUACUCUAGAAGUCUAACGUGGUGCUCCUCUCUCCAGCUGUAAUGACUGACCUUCCCGCAGCCUGGCACCUCGACACCAUCCACAGGUCUGGGGAUCUCG